rnacentral:misc_RNA from 1 species
GCCACUGCAUAUGGGGCUCUCUGUGCUGUGCUGUGCUCAAUUCUUAUCGGAUCAAAUGGAAGGCAGAAUCACGUUAUACUUGGAAGUCUGGUUGAUAGGUUCAUUGGCUGGGCUUUGCCAUUGCUUAGCAAUGUCAAUGUCAGUGCUGGUGAUGGGACCACAGAACUGGCAGUGGAAGGCCUACGUGAGUUUCUCAGUGUGGGAGAUGUUGUGGGGAUUGAGAGAUAUGCUUCACCAAUACUCAAAGCAUGCCAAGAACUUCUGGAGGAUGAGAGAACCUCCUUGACUUUAUUGCACCAGCUUCUCGGUGUUCUGUCUUUGGUUUCUUUGAAGUUUACUAGAAUUUUCCAACCUCAUUUUCUUGACAUCGUUGAUGUACUUCUUGGCUGGGUAUUGGUACCAGAUCUUGCAGAAUCUGAUAGGCGAAUUAUUUUGGAUAGUUUCUUGCAAUUUCAGAAACAUUGGGUGGGAAAUUUGCAAUUUUCUCUGGGAUUGCUGUCGAAGUUCUUGGGUGACAUGGAUGUAUUACUGCAGGAUGGCAGUCAUGGAACCCAACCCCAAUUUCGAAGGUUACUUGCAUUGCUUUCUUGUUUUUCAACAGUGUUGCAGUCCACUGCUUCUGGAUUGCUGGAAAUAAAUCUACUUGAACAAAUUAGUGAAUCUCUCAGCAAAAUGCUUCCUCGGUUGUUGGGAUGCUUAUCUUUGGUUGGAAGGAAGUUUGGGUGGUUAAAAUGGAUUGGGGACUCAUGGAAGUGCUUGACUCUCUUGGCAGAAAUAUUAUGUGAAAGAUUUUCUACUUUCUAUCCACUUGCUGUUGAUAUCUUAUUUCAAAGCUUGGAAAUGAGUAGCACCACCCAAACUCGAUCUGACAAGAUUACCUCCUUUCAAGUUCAUGGGGUUUUAAAGACUAAUCUUCAGUUAUUAUCUCUGCAAAAACUUGGCCUCCUUCCAUCAUCAGUGCAGAAAAUAAUACAGUUUGAUGCACCAAUAUCUCAGCAGCGUUUGCAUCUGAAUCAUUUGGUGGCUGGAACCUCUGCCGCAACUUAUGUUUUCUUGCUUCAACAUGGGAAUGAUGAAGUUGUUCAACAGGCAAUGACUCUGCUGAUUGAAGAGCUGGAUCUGUUAAAGGACAUGCUAAAAAGAAUUUCAGAUGUUGGAGAUGAGGUUAAGAGUGUUGCAGGUUCUAAAUCCUAUUCAAAAGUUGAGUUGUGUGCAUUUGUGAAAUUUGAUUUGAAAGUUCUGUUAACUUGUGUUUCCUUGGGUGGGAUAAACAAUUUGAUUAGCCAACCAGACAUGGCUGCUCUUUAUCUGAAGAGGUCGGAAAGGUUGACUUCUUUUAUUGCUGAGAAAUUGGAUCCAUUUGAUUUACCUAUUCAGGCCUAUGUGGAGUUGCAAGUCAAUGUUAUCAAGACAAUGGACAGGCUAGGUGCAGUAGAAUUCUUGAGCAAGUGCUGCAUAAGAAAUCAGACUAGUAUGAAAGCUUCUGUAGAUGUUGAUGUUGAAAAAGCCCAUGACAGUUUCAGGGAUGUUUAUUCUAAAGUUAUUGUGGAGCAUCUGCGAAAAAACACUGUGAUUCUUGUUAAAGCUCUACAUGUUCUUUCUCCGCUUGCGGUUAAGGUAGUAGCCCUGGAAUGGAUCCAAAGAUUCUGUGAGAAUCUUAUUCUUAUUUAUGAGAAUUCAAAUGUGAAUAGCUUUUCUAAUGCAUCAUUUGGAUAUGUAGGAUGUAUUGGAAGUAUUCUUUUCUCAGUACUUGAUGCUGCAUUUGACAGGGAACCAAAAGUGAGAUCAUCUGUGGCUUUGGUUUUGGAGCUUCUUUUGAAGGCAAGGCUCAUAGAUCCCAUGUUUCUCUUUCCCAUAGCUGAAGUGGUCUUAGAAAAACUUGGUGAUCCAGAUAUUGAAAUAAAAAAUGCAUUUGUUAGACUGCUUUCCCAUGUCAUUCCCACAACAAUUUAUGUAUGUGGUUUAUGUGAUCACGGAACAUUUAUCACAUCAAGGCCCAAUGCACUUAUACUUGGUAACAGUUCUAAUUUGCACUGGAAGCAAUUAUUUUCCCUGAAGCAGCUGCGACAGCAACUUCAUUCACAGCAACUUGUUUCCAUUUUGAGUUACAUAUCCCAAAGAUGGAAAGUACCGCUUUCUUCU